rnacentral:rRNA from 1 species
GAUGAACGCUAGCUACAGGCUUAACACAUGCAAGUCGAGGGGUAACGAGAGGAAAGCUUGCUUUCCUUGUCGACGACCGGCGCACGGGUGAGUAACGCGUAUCCAACCUGCCCCCAACUAGGGAAUAACCUUGCGAAAGUAAGACUAAUACCCUAUAAUUUCCUCAGAUGUCAUCUGACGAGGAAUAAAGAUUUAUCGGUUGUGGAUGGGGAUGCGUCUGAUUAGCUUGUUGGCGGGGUAACGGCCCACCAAGGCAACGAUCAGUAGGGGUUUUGAGAGGAAGGUCCCCCACAUUGGAACUGAGACACGGUCCAAACUCCUACGGGAGGCAGCAGGGAGGAAUAUUGGUCGAUGGGCGGAAGCCUGAACCAGCCAAGUAGCGUGCAGGAUGACGGCCCUAUGGGUUGUAAACUGCUUUUAUACAGGAAUAAAGUUAGCCACGUGUGGUUAUUUGUAGGUACUGUAUGAAUAAGGACCGGCUAACUCCGUGCCAGCAGCCGCAGUAA